UGUUCAUGAACGAGCAGGGAAAGCUCCCAUGGAGCCAAAACCCUAAACUUCAUCAAAAUCUCCAAAUUGAAAGGCUAAACGAAGCCCAAAUUCACAACCGAACAUGAAUUAACGAUCACCUCCACAAGGGGAUCAUAAGGAAUCAUGUCAAGAUGGAUGGGAGCGUUGAAGGCUAACGGGCUACGAAGACUCAAUCAAAUAAGCGAACGCAAAUACGGGCGCGUAAGAAUGAAAUAAGGAAUGCAGGUAUACUAGUGUUGGAAGUUGAAGGUAGGCGCCGAAAUCCAAUGCGGGUGGACCGAACGGAUGGAUGAAUGGACUAACAUAAGCGAAAGCACGAUAUGUUAAUGCCUAAUUAUGCAUGUUUAAAUUUUAUAUAUGAUGACACCGGUUGCUAAUGAUGUGAUUGUACGUGGUGUCUGCAGGUUGUACAGAACGGUGGAUUCUCGUCAUGAAGUGAAAAAGGUUGAAGAUCGAGUCAAGAGAUGGAUUGUACAUGUGGGUGCAUGGUCACGAAAAUUAAUAGUAGUAUGUCCGAUUUUUAUAAAUUUUUAGAAAGCAUUAAUGUAUUUAAUGUAAAAGAAUGAUUUAAUGUAAUCCUAAGUAUGUUAGAAUGAAUAUGAUGAAAGAAAAUUUUUAAGUUCGUAA